CUCUCUAGCAAGCACAAAACUGAAAACAAGUCUCCUCCUCCCUACCCCUUAGCAAAUUCCACACAACACCUCAAAACUCUCAACCAUCAUGCCUAACGAUCAACUUGAGAUGAAGAUCAUGAAAAAGAAAAAGGAAAAAAAGAGGUGUGGUAUCGUGGGUUAGCAUAAAGUUGGAAUGGGAGGAAUCGGUAAAAAGAGCCAGUAGUUGCUCUUGGAAGUGCAAGUGGAGUACGAAGCGGAAUCGGUGCAUCUUUCUAAUUAGGAACUGUCCAGUAGUCGCUCUAGGAAGGUUGCAAGCGGUGUUCAAAGGCCGAAUCGUUUACAUCAGUAGAUUAGGUUCAGAACCAUGUCAGCUCGCAGAGUUAGAACAAGAGGUCAUGGUCAAAGAUGAGGGCCAAAUCUGCCACCUCCAUCUCCGUCACCACCUCUGUCACCACCAGUGCCUUCGCCUCCACCAUCUCCACCUGCCGGAGAUAAUGCGUUGGAUUUGAGGCAUGUACUUAGCUAGUUUACCCGCACCAUGGCUACAGCUUUGCGGGGAAGGUGUGGUACAGAAAGUUCUGAAAUUAAAAGGGUUAAGGAACUUGGAGCAAGAGAGUUCAUGGGUAGCACAGACCCAGCAGAAGCCGAGUCAUUGAUUACAGAUGUGGGGAGAAUUUUUGAGGUUCUAGAGUGCCCAGUUGGGGAUAGAGUCCGCUUGGCUACUUUUCUGCUGAAAGGAAAUGCAUACCACUGGUGGAAAGCUGUGAAAAGAGGUUAUGAGAAUCCGGCUGUCAUAAACUGGGAGGAAUUUUAGAGGGUCUUCUCAGAGCAAUUUUACCCACCUUCCUACACAAAUGCAAAGAAGUCAAAGUUCCUAUAUCUGAAAUAGGGGUCUAUGUCGAUGGUGGAGUAUGAACACAAGUUUAAUGAGCUGUCUAGAUUUGCUCCAGAGCUGGUGGCCACUGAGGAGGACAUAUGUAGACGGUUUGAGGAAGGGUUAUGGUGGGAGAUUCAGGCAGUGGUUACUGCGAACACUUACCCAAACAUGAGGGCUUUGGCUCAGGUAGCUGAAAGGGUGGCGAGGAAAUUCAGUGGGAGUGCGGGCAGGCACCGCAGAGAUACAUCAGGGUUUGGUGGGCCAAGUCAGGGUCUAUCAAAGAGAGGAGGAUCUAGCUCCAGUUCUGCUAGCGGCGGAUGGUCAGGAGGACGAGGAUCUAGUUCUAGUAGUAGGAGAUCUGAUUCUCGUUCAGCAUGGACUCAGUAUUCUAGACAGCAGUCUACAGCCAGCACAGCCAGGACUCCUUCCCGGCAGAUAGGUUUGAUGUGUUACAAUUGUGGGCAAAUCGGGCAUUUUGCGAAGGAUUGUCCUGGCUAUACUCAGGGAGGUGGACAAAGUCAGAGUAGUAGCCUGACAUGCUACUUUUGUGGGCAAGUGGGACAUACCAAGAGAAGCUGCCUAAUUAUACUCCAGAGUGAUGCAGUAGUCCAGGGGACUGAGGCCUAGUAAGGGCAGGGUAGUGUGGGCCAGAAUCAGAGUCAAAGUAGUGCUUCUUCCUCUGCAGCAGGGUCAUCAAGUAGCAGGACACUGUCAUCUUCUAGGGGCAGGAGUGGCAGGCAAUCAAAGGGUCAGCAUGAGCGUUCUACUACUCAGGCCAGAGUGUCUUCAAUGACCCAGCAGGAAGCACAUGCCACCCCGGACGUGAUUACUGGCAUGAUUUCGAUCUUUGGUUAUCUUGCACGUGUUCUAAUUAAUCCGGGGGCCACACACUCCUUCGUAUGUCAGUGUAUCUUACACCGUGAGUAUGUUUGUAUGGAUUUUGGGGAAGUUCUAUAUAUAUUGUCUAUAGGUGGGGUACUUGAGUUGUUGAGGUGAGUUUGUGGAAGGACUUGAGUAUAAGGGGUUGUUGAGAGAAGUUGUAUGAUUACACUAUGUAAGUACCUUCCUCAGUUACUAGGCUUCCCACACGCGGCGUUGAAUGUUCCGGCUUAUGAGACACUUCCCAUACAUGGUGUUGGAAUUUUCGGGGUUUGGGAAGAUUAUGUAUAUUGCUUGGCAUCAUCACACAUGGCGUUGGAUGUUCCGGUGUGUGAUGAUAUAGUCUGCGCACGUAGGACUUAGUAUUGGAGCUACACAUGGCGUUGGAUGUUCCGGUGUGUGAGCUAUGGAGUUUCGUUCCCCGGUUGGACCGCUCAUCCCUAAACGCAGGAUACAACCUGGAAAUCCUGCGGGCUAGUCAAACGAUCCCCCGGUUGGAUUGUUUCCCCGGUACCUAGGUAGUGUGAUGAGUAUGUUGUAUAGUUAUAUUUAUAUAUUUAUAUCUAUGUAUAUAUAGUUGUGAGUGUGAAGAAAUUAGAGUCCAUACAGUGGGUUGGUAGGAGCAGUAAAAUUGUGGGCAUGAGGUUUAUGAAUGGAGUGAUUUGUGGUUAAAGAGUUUUCAAUGAAAUAUGUUUUUGAGCAUUUAAUUAUGAAUUGUGAACCUGCAUGUCUUGAGCAUUACUUUUACACGGCGGGGUUAUUAUGUUAUUUUAAAUGCAAAUCUUGUUUUUGUCCACUCACAUGUUUUUUGUUU